rnacentral:lncRNA from 1 species
CUCCUCCCAACCGCUCCCGCCGGGGCCCGCCAUGCCGCCCUCGGCCUCGCUUCGGAGGCCGCGCAGCCGGCAGGCCGGCUUCCCUCCCGAGGCCUCCCCGACCAAGCCGCGCCUCCAAGGGGCCGCCUGUGCAGCCGAAGGUUGCAAGAAAAACUCCUCGGCCCCUCGGACCAUCUUUCCUGUUUCCAAAUGCCGGGGACCAGUGUCUGUGACUGCGCCGCCUGCCUGAGGGCAUGUACUGAAAAGCCCUGCGACUCCAACAUGUGGGACUCACAAGCACCUUGGACAGGCCUCAAAACGCGGCUGACAUACAGAAUUUUUACCAUUAACGACCUGAGGCAGGACUGGUGGAGGUCAGUUCAUUAGUUACUGAUCUCAAGAAACAAGUCAGGACUAUUUUCUAAUGUGCUUCUUUCAAGUUAGUGUGGAAAGAGCUGAUGCAUCUGUUGUAGCUGACGGAAUUUAAGGAACUGAAUAAUUGACAAGAUUUCCAGAAAAGCAGGGUCGCCAGAUAAUGCUACCUGUUUGCGAAUGAUUGUUACCGUAAUGCUCUAGAGAGCUAAUCCUUUCUCGGCCUAGUCAGAUGAUUUUAAAUCAUUUGAUUUUACAGAGCUUUAGUUUCAGUUUUUUAAAUGAAAAUGGGGAUGGGAUUAGGUCAUCUUCUAACACCCACGACAGCCAUAAAUUGAUAAUCUAUGGAUCCAUAUUUAAAGUUACUGAUAAAAAUAACCACAAUUGACCAGCCUCCCUUCCCUGUUAGGAAAUGCUUUAUAUUUUAAUUUAGCAACCCAUGUGACCAACCCUUUUAGAAUUGAACUGGCUCUCCCUAGGAAAGGUUAGAAAUCUAAUCAGUUAUAGUAAGUUUCUGUUAACAAAUGGGGAGUGGUCGACUUGGAGUUUGGAAAAGGGGAGCGUAAAGUCUAAAAGUUUGUUAAUUUAUCUAGCCGUUGCUCCAGGAGGACCUGUGUUAUAGUUUGGAAACAUUUACAAAGGGUAUUUUUGUGGGGCAGAAAACAGUUAGCAGUCCUUAAUGUAAUUUGGUUGAAAUAACCGUUCAAACCAGACUCCUCCUGUUGCUUUGAUUCCUUUUUCGCAAACUUUCUUAUGUUCUACGUAUCCAGGUGCUCCUGAUGGCCAGCAAUAGACUUGAGACAUUGGAAGAAUGUAUAGCCUUAGCGUCUAUUUAGUGUUAAGAUUUUGUAAGUCUAAUUACUGUGAAAUAGUCCUGGUAACUUUAUCGAUUCUGGAUACAAAGAAAAAUGCAAAGUGAAAGACCUUUGGAAAUUGCUAUUCACACCAGAGUACUCUAUGAGACAUUACAUAGGUGAUCAAGAAGAGUGAUCACCUGGCUGCACUUUAGGGUAUGUUUGUCCAGGUUUUUCUAAUAAGUUAAUUCUAAUCAAUAACUUUUGUUCUAAUUAGUAACUUUUGUAUAAAUGUUAAUGUUAAAUCGCGAAACAAUGUGGGAUGGGAUACUAAGUUCUCUCCAGGAACAUGAAAUGUCAGCCCAUUUAUUCACAUCUUUUUGUCCUCCCUAUUGUAUUGGUCCAGAUUUGUUGUUCAUCCUGACUGUAUGCUGUUUUUAGACAUUAGUUAUUUUUUAUGCUUUUGUCUAAACAAGCUCUGGCCGGGCGCCAUGGCUCACACCUGUAAUCCCAGGCCUUUGGGAGGCCGAGGUAGGCAGGUCACCUGAGGUGGAGAGUUUGAGACCAGCUUGACCAACACGGUUAAACCCUGUCUCUACUUUUAAAAAAAAUACAAAAAUUAGCCGGGCAUGGAGGCACACGUCAGUAAUCCCAGCUGCUUGGGAGGCUGUGGCACGAGAAUCACUUGAACUCAAGAGGCGGAGGUUGCAGUGAGCUGAAAUUGCCCCACUGCACUCCAGUCUGGGUGACAGAGCGAGAUUCCGCCUCAAAAAAAAAAAAAAAAAAAAAAAAGGCCGGGCGCGGUGGCUCACGCCUGUAAUCCCAGCACUUUGGGAGGCCGAGGCGGGCGGAUCACGAGGUCAGGAGAUCGAGACCAUCCUGGCUAACAUGGUGAAACCCCGUCUCUACUAAGAAUACAAAAAAAAAAAAAAAUUAGCCGGGCGUGAUGGCGGGCGCCUGUAGUCCCAGCUGCUGGGAAGGCUGAAGCAGGAGAAUGGCGUGAACCCGGGAGGCGGAGCUUGCAGUGAGCCGAGAUCACGCUGCUGGCUGGGCGCAGUGGUUCAAGCCUGUAAUCCCAGUACUUUGGACGGCCAAGGCGGGCGGAUCACCAUGUUGGCUGGGUUAGUCUGGAAUUCCUGAUCUUAAGAGAUCCGCCCGCCUUGGCCUCCCAAGGUGCUGGGAUUAUAGGCGUGAGCCACUGUGCCUGGCUGGAAGAAGGUAACUCAUUUUGUUUGUUUUUGAGACAGAGUCUCGCUCUGUCACCAGGCUGGAGUGCAGUGGCACAAUCUCGGCUCACUGCAACCUCCGCCUCCCGGGUUCAAGUGAUUCUCCUGCCUUAGCCUCUCAAGUAGCUGGGACUACAGGCGCUCACCACCACACCUGGCUAAUUUUUUGUAUUUUUAGUAGAGACGGGGUUUCACCACGUCAGCCAGGAUGGUCUCCAUCUCUUGACCUUGUGAUCCACCCGCCUCGGCCUCCCAAAGUGCUGGGAUUACAGGCAUGAGGGAAGAAGGUAACCCUUAAAAGGGAGGAAUUGUAAUAAACUAUAAGCUUUGUUAUGUGCCAUUAUAUUCAGAAUAUACCAAAGCUUUAUUUUCUAAAAUCUUGAUUUUUAAAUAAGGAGUUUAUAAAGUAAAACACACACAAAAAGUCUUUCCCCACAAAAUCCUAUUACAUAGAUUUGACCAUGAUCAACAACUUAUUACAUAUCCUCUCACAUUUUCUUGUUGGCCUAAUCAAUGCUUAUAUAUAUGAAACAAACAUAUUUGUUUUAUUUUUACCAAUGUAUGUCUAACUAUCCAGAUUGAUUUGAAAUUUCCUUUCUCUUCCACUUAACAAAGUUAUUUACCAAACUCUUACUAUGUGCCAGGCAAUGCUAGGUGCUGGAAAUUCAUCAUAGUCACUCACAUUAUUGAAUACUACUGUAUACCUUGUAAUGGGCCACGUACAUUAUGUUCCUGAUUUCAUUCCCUUAAUAAACUUAGGAGGGUAAAUUCUCCCUAAUCUGGGAUGUAGGAAAGUUGAAUACAUUGACUAAAAUUAUAUAGGCCCUGCAAGUAAAGUGCUGAAUUAGAAUGUCAUAUAAUCACUGUAUUUACAUUUUAAUAUUCUUGAAGGUAACAACCUUUUCUUUAAAAAUCUAUCAUACAUUUGUGUUGUUCACUAUGUUUCUUAUGUUUCCAGAGACCACUACAGUGAUUGGCUCUGUAGUAGGCAAUUCACUUAUUUAUGGAAUAUUCAACAUUAGAUAUAUGAAUCAUGGAUGACAUAUUUUGGGUCCCCUUCAGUGCCCUGUUGGACCUUGAUAUGGUUUGGCUCUUUGUUUCCAUCCAAAUCUCACCUUGAAUUGUAAUCCCUGUAAUCCCCACAUGUCAAGGAUGGGACCAGGUUGAGGUAAUUGAAUCAUGGGGGUGGUUUCUCCCAUGCUGUUCUCAUGAUAAUUAGUGAGUCUCGGGAGAUCUGAUGGUUUUAUAAGCAUCUGGCAUUUCCCCUGCUUGCACUCAUUCUCUCUCCUUCUGCCCUAUGAAGAGGUGCCUUCUGCCAUGAUUGUAAGUUUCCUGAGGCCUCCCCUGCCAUGUGGAACUGUGAGCCAAUUAAACCUUUUUCUUUAUAAAUUGCCAGUCUUGGGUAUUCAUGGCAGCAUGAGAACGAACUAAUACAGACCUACUGCAUAAUUUGUGGAGCCAUGUGCAAAAUGAAAAUGCAGGGUGCCGUGUUCAAAAAUUAUUAAGAAUUUCAAGACAUGACAUCAAAGUAUUAAGCCAAGCCAGGACCCUUAUAAGUGCUGGACUCUGUGCAACUGCAAAGGUCAUAUGCCCGUGAAGUCUGCACAGUGCCCAGUACAGUGCCCUGUCUAGAGCAGGUACCUGGUCUCUUUUCAGAAAUUUAUUCACUUGCCAUCUUGUAUUUACUUCCACUUUCUUGUCAGCACUCAUUUCUAAAGUGUUCCUAAUCUAGUUUCUGUCACAGGCUGCCACUCAUUUCUUAAGUGUUCCUAGUUUCUGCCACAGGCUAUCGAAAUUGUUUUUCCAAGGUCACAAAUGAUUAUCUGUCAAAUUAAUAUCCCUAUUCUUAAAUGUUAAUCCUUCCUGACCUAGGGAUCAACAUUACUGCCUGUUCAUCCUUUUUUUUUUUUUUUUUUUUUGAGACAGAGUCUUGCUCUGUUGCCCACGCUGGAGUGCAGUGGCACGAUCUUGGCUCACUGCAACCUCUGCCUACUGGAUUCAAGCGAUUCUUCUGCCUUGGCAUCCCAAGUAGCUGGGAUUACAGGCAUGUACCACCACACCUGGCUAAUUUUUAUAUAUUUUUAUUUGUUAUUUUUUGAGUUGGAGUUUUGCUCUCGUUGCCCAGGCUGGAUUGCAGUGGCGCGAUCUCGGCUCACUGCAACCUCCGCCUCCCAGGUUCAAGUGAUUCUCCUGCCUCAGCCUCCUGAGUAGCUGGGAUUACAGGCACACGCCACCAUGCCCAGCUAAUUUUUUGUAUUUUUAGUAGAGACAAGAUUUCAUCAUGUUGGCCAGGCUAGUCUCAAAACUCCUGACCUCAGGUGAUCCACCUGCCUCAGCCUGCCAAAGUGCAGGAAUUACAGGUGUGAGCCACCACACCCGGCCCUGUUGCUUCUUUUUGAUGUUUUCCUUUUUUGUCUUUAUUAAGGACAUUGGUUUUUCCCUUUAGUUCAUCACUGCUUCCUUCUGGAUCCUUCCCUUUUUCGUUUUCUCUCUCCUCUUGUUUCCAUAAGGUUUUGUCACACUGAGGUAUAGAACUUCCUGAGAAACUUUGUGAAAUGCACCCAUUGUUCUCCUACGAGUGGCCACUUUCCCUGGGAAAAGUAUGAGGUGGUGUAAGUGCGUGAGAACUCUCAGGGGAUUUGUACAUGCCUCCUAGGAAGCUAAAGAAGAGGUUAGGCCUGAUUAGUGUAUUUGUUAAGAUGACAAGAUAUAUCACUUCCUUCUCCCAACACACACACACACACACACACACACACACACACACACACACACACACCACAGUUGAAUGAUUUAGAGAUUGAGGAGGUAAUUUGAUACAAAAAGUAUUAAGGAGUCAUUCACAGGGACUUACGUUCUCUUUCAGACAAAUCCCAAUUUGGAAGUCUGAAAAGGCUGAAAUCUUUUUAGUAGGUGCUUUACAAAUGACUUUCACAUAAAACUUUGAUUAAAUUAAUUAGUUACACUUUUCUCUUACUAACUUGUCUUCUGUUAUAAGAGUGUUGGCCAUGACCCUUACAAUGGGUAAGGAAAGGUGUCACACCUCCACUUUUUUCCCCAUAAAAUUGACCUUUUGAAGAGAUCAGGACAAAUGAAUUUGUAGGAUGCUUUACAUUUUGGGUUUAUUUGAUUGUUUUCUGCAGGUGCGAUUUAACUAGAUUCUCUGUCUCCUUCAUUUCCUAUAAAUUGGAAGGUUAAAUCCAAACUCUUAUUAACUUCAAAUUAAUCAGGUUGAGCAAGAGUAUAUCAGAGGUGAUGAUGUGUAGUUUAGAUUGUUGUGUCACAUUACGCGGCACACAAUAUCAGAUUGUCCCGCUAUUUGUGAUGUUAAAUUUCAUCAAAGUGGUAAAACCCUCCUUUGUAAUGAGAAGGUCAUCUCUGAGGUGGUACUUUGGUCCCAUGCAAAUAUUGGACCCCAAAACAACCUUUCCCAUUAUGUGUUAGCAUUUUUGAUCACCCUUGACUGAAUUAUUAUUUCAUUGGGGAUGACAGAAUGAUGACUUUUCUAAUUAUAUCAUUUCUUCUACAUUUAUUAGCUAGCAUUUGUAAACACACACACACACACACACACACACACACACACACACACACAAAAUGUCUCUUCACCAACUGGGAAUGAACUACAAUUCCUCCUUAAAAGACAGGGUAGGUACUUUAAUUACCAAUUUUCAGAAUAAGAAGUUAGUAUAACAGUCACCUUCAAAGGUGGCAAAUUAUCUUUUUUCUCUCUCUCUCUUUGAGUAUCACUAUAGAUUCAUGGGUUUUUAUUUAUUCACUGUUUUAUAAUCAAUUGCAGUCAUUAUUCCUUUUGAUAUUUAAAUUGCCCCAAAUUUGGCCUCUAUGUCCUUUUGAGUUCUCUGUCAGGUGCAUAUGAAUUUUAUUAAUCAAAACAAACUCUAUAUGGUGGAAUUUAGGCAACAUUUGGAAGAGAUUUGGGGAUGAGGAAAGGGACAGAGUGGCCUCUAAAUAGGUAGGCUAUCACUGCCAGCAAGAUUGUCCUUGGAGUCAGCCAUCGUAGGCACAUCUCGACCUGGGAGUCUUUUCUUCCUUCACAUUUAAGCCCCAGAUUUACAAAAAAGCUCCAUUGUUUUCUGUAAUUAAUUGGCAGUGAGAGACCAAAAUUACUGUAUGAAUGUUUGGCUCAUUUGUAAAUUAAGGCCUGCUUAUCUGUGUAGGAAUGGUGAAGAUAACUGUAACCCAAAUGUAAUUCAUUAAAGGGAAAUACUCAUCAGUAGCAAUAUCGGAUAUUAAAUGAGGAAAAUAUGUUAGUAUGUAGUGACAUGAGACUUCUGACUGAGAUGUGAGCAAGAAAACAGAUCCACGGGACCCUCCACACACAGAAACUGAGCUGUUCUGUGCCUUGUUCGUUUGUGUCCUGCUGAGUUCACAUUAACAAAUGAAUCCCAGAAUCUUAGCUCUCCCUGGGAGAUCUAUGUCUUAAGAAAAUUUCUUGUGACAAUAAUACCUUAACCCAAAGCAAACAUUUUCAAAUGGUGGGAAUAAGAGUCAGUGAAGCAAGUCAGUGGAAGAAUUUGAUUUUGGACAGAAACUCUUUCAGCAAGUCACACCAUGAUAGCUCCUUCCAAUUCUGCUGUACAGAUCUCUGGCCCAGGCUGCAAUCUUACAGCUAUAUGGCUGUAAACAAGGUAGAAUGUAGAGAUUAAAUUACCUGAGCGACAGUUAGGAAAUCUCCUUUCUUGUGGAAGCAAGGACUAAUGCUUUCAUAUUGUUGUGAGUCUAGUAAUGCUCAAGAGAUAUUUAAUGUGCGAAAUUUAAAUAACACUCUGGGCUGGGCGCAGUGGCUCAUACCUGUAAUCGCAGCACUUUGGGAGGCCGAGGCGAGAGGAUCACUUGAGGUCAGGAGUUUGAGACCAGCCUGGCCAACAUAGUGAAACCCUGUCUUUACUAAAAAUACAAAAAUUAGCUGGGUGUGAUGGCACACACCUGUAGUCCCAGCUACUUGGGAGGCUGAAGCAGGAGAAUCGCUUGAACCUGGGAGGUGGAGGUUACAGUGAGCCGAGAUCGUGCCACUGCACUCCAGCCUGAGUGACACAGCAAGACUCCAUCUCAUAAUAAUAGUAAUAAUAAUAAUAAUAAUAAUUUAAAAAUAACACUCUGUAAAGGCUUAAAGAAUGCAAGACAUUUAAGGUUGCCUGUGUUUUCAAUAACCUCUCAACCCCUUUUUGUUCUGUUUACUUAAAUUCCCAUUUAGAUUUUAGAAUACUUUUGCUUUAUUUGCUGAUUUUAAUUUCUUUGUAUUUUCCUUUCUUCUGGUUCAUCUGGUCCUCUUGCUAUUAUUGCCUUAAUUAAUUUCUUGGGCUCUGGCAUCAUUUUUCUUCCCACUAACAACUUUUUAAAUAUAUACUUCAGUUUUUGUAAUCAAGGAAGUUUUGGUUUUCUUUAAUAAGUAAAUAUGAAGGGGACACUGCUAAGCCUAUAUCUUAUACAAAGUUAUACACAAUCUUAGAUGACAAAUAAUUUGAAAAUCAAGGAUCUAGAUUUUCCAGGCUCAAGUAUGAUUCAGGUAUUCCUCCUCCCCUGGAUUACUGUAAGCAGAAUCCUUCCCUAGUCGAGAUUCUUUUUGUUACUCUUGUUUACCUUAGAGCUCUGUUCAAGUAAACGGUCUCUCUCUGUAAAAGGAAUCUGGGUAUGAGCUGCUAAAGAGUUACUUCUGCCCCCACAUCAUAAAAUGGAAAAAAACAUGUACCAAGUAAAAUGCUAUUUUAUUUAUUUUUUAUUAUUUAUUUACUUGAGACAGAGUUUUGCUCUUGUCUCCCAGGCUAGAGUGCAGUGGCGCCAUCUCGGCUCACUGCAACCUCUGCCUCCUGGGUUCAAGUGAUUCUCCUGCCUCAGCCUCCCGAGUAGCUAGGAUUACAGGCGCCCGUCACCACGCCCAGCUAAUUUUUUGUAUUUUUAGUAGAGACGGGGUUUCACCAUGUUAGCCAGGAUGGUCUCAGACUCCUGACCUCAGGUUAUCCGCCUGCCUCAGCCUCCCAAAGUGCUGGGAUUACAGGUGUGAGCCACCGCGCCCGACUAUUUUUUAUUUUUUUGAGACAGAGUCUCGCUCUGUCACCCAGGCUGCAGUGUAGUAGGAUAAUCUUGGCUUACUGCAUACUCUGCCUCCCAGGUUCAAGUGCUUCUCGUGCCUCAGCCUCCCGGGUAGCUGGGAUUACAGGUGCCCACCACCACACCCAGCUGAUUUUUGCAUUUUUAGUAGAGAACUGGGUUUCACCAUAUUGGCCAGGCUGGUCCCGACCUCCUGGCCUCAAGUGAUCCUCCUGUCUUGGCCUCCCAAAGUACUGAGAUUACAGGAGUGAACCACUGCCCCUGGUCUCCAAGUAAAGUGCUUUUAUUUGUAAUUAUUCAGCUAAGCAAACAAAUAUUCUGGUUACUAUUACAGCAUAUAUUAGACACGUUCUGCAGCCUCCAAAAGCUUUCAUAAAAAUUAGAAUAAGUCGGUAUAGGAAUAGACAGAGAUGAUUAAAGGGUUUUGGGAUAGGCAUCUUUUCCUGUAUUCUUUUAAGAGGCUUUUUUUCUAGCUUUUAUCUAUUUUGUGGUAAAAAUAUAUAAUAUUAAGUGUGCCAUUUUAAGUAUUUUAGAAUUACAAUUGUCAUUAAUUGUAGUCACAAUAUUGUCUAACUAUCACUACUCUCUAUUUCCAAAACCUUUCCAUCAUUGCAAACAGAAACUUUGUACCCACUAAGUAAUAAUUCUCCAUUCUUUUUCUCUCAGCCCUAGUAACCUCUAUUCUGCUUUCUGUUUCUACAAAUUUGUCAGCCGUUUUAAAAAGAUGAGCUUUGGCAGCUGUGUAGAUGGGAAAUGGCCUAAGGCAGGGUCCCCAACACCUAGGCCAUGAACCAGUAUUGGUCCAUGGCAUGUUAGCAACCAAACUGCACAGCAGGAGGUUCAUCUGUAUUUGACUGAAUUAUUAUUUCAGAGAGAGAGAGUGGAGCUUCAUCUAUAUUUACAGCUGCUCCCCGUUGCUUGCAUUACCACUGGAGCUCCGCCUCCUGUCAGAUCAGCAGAAGCAGCAGUGGCAUUAGAUUCUCAUAGGAGGCUGAACCUUAUUGUGAACUGCACAUGCAAGGGACCUAGGUUGCAUGCUCCUUAUGAGAAUCUAAUGCCUGAUGAUCUGUCACUGUCUCCCAUCACCCCCAUAUGGGACGAUCUAGUUGUAGGAAAACAAGCUCAGGGCUCCCACUGAUUCUACAUUAAGGUGAUUUAUGUCAUUAUUUCAUUAUAUAUUACAAUAUAAUAAUAGAAAUAAAGUGCACAAUAAAUGUAGUGUGCUUGAAUAGUCCUGAUAACCAUCCCCCCACCCACUGUCCCAGUCCAUGGAAAGAUUGUCUUUUAUGAAACCCAUCGCUGGUACCAUAAUGAUUGGGGACUGUUGGCCUAAGGAAUGCAAAGGAAUGAAACUCUUUUCCUUCAGGUAAUUGUAACAACAUAAUGUUUUGAAAACCAUUCUUGUUAGUUUCUUUUUUGCUUUUCUCAGAGCCCAAUCUUUGCUCUAGUUGGCAGAGAUGUUGAUCAGGCUGGCAGAACUGGGAUAUGGAAAGGAUACAAAAAGAAAAUGUUACAUGGUAUUCAGCUUCUGAAAACAAAAUAGUAUUAUGCAUGUCAGUAGCCUUGCAAGCAAGCUGAGUUUUCCUUUUUUUUCUUUUCUUUUCUUUUUUUUUUUUUUUUGAGGUCUCACCAUGUUACCCAGGCUGCAGCCCAUGUCGCCCAGGCUGCAGCCCAGCGGCCCAAUCACAGCUCACUGUAGCCUUGACCUCCUGGGGUCAAGCUGUUCUCCCACCUCAGCCUCCUAAGUAGCUGGGACUACAGAUGUGCACCACCACACUCAGCUAAUUUUUUAAAAUUAUUAUUUGCAGAGAUGAGGUCUCACUAUAUUGCCCAGGCUGAUCUUGGAUUCCUGGGCUCAAGCGAUCCUCCCUCCUCAGCCUCCCAAAGUGCUGGAAUUAUAGGCAUGAGCCACCUCACCUGGCCACAAGCUGAGUUUUUAUCUUAAGAUAUGAUUUUUUCUAAAUUCCUUUUCCCCCUUUAAUAUAUCACUUGCUGAAUCAGGAGGGACCGACUCAAAAGUUUCGUGUUAUUGAGAGGAUAUUCUUCUGUUUAUGUUAGCAAAGCCACAAGUCUUGCUGAUCAAUGGUAGAAAGAGGCCUGACACGGUGGCUCAUACCUAUAAUCUAAGCACUUUGGGAGGCCGAGGCAGGAGGAUCACUUUAGCCCAGGAAUUCGAGACCAGCCUGGGCAACAUGAUGAAAUCCAAUCUCUACAAAAAAUAUGAAAAUUAGCUGGGUAUGGUGGUGCACGCCUGUAGUUCCAGCUACUCCGGAGGCUGAGGUGGGAGGAUCCCUUGAGCCCAGGAGGUCAAGGUUGCAGCAAGCCGUUAUGGCGCCACCGCACUCCAGCCUGGGUGACAAAGUGAGACCCUGUCACACACACACACACACUAGAGGGCAAAUAGGCUAAGUAUGCCUGCAAGUAACAAAAAUACUGCAGAUAAUAGUAGCCUCAAGGUAAGAGUUUGUUUCUUUGCCAUAUUCCAGAAUUCAUUAAAAUAACUGAAGUCUGCUGGGCACGUUAAAUUUGCCUGCAAGUAACAAAAAUACUACAGGAUGAUAGUAGCCUCAAGGUACAAGUUUGUUUCUUUGCCAUAUUCCAGAAUUCAUUAAAAUAAGUGAAGUUGGCUGGGCACAUUAAAUUUGCCUGCAAGUAACAAAAACACUACAGGAUAAUAGUGGCCUCAAGGUACAAGUUUGUUUCUCUGCCAUAUUCCAGAAUUCAUUAAAAUAACUGAAGUUGGCCGGGCGCAGUGGCUCACGCCUGUAAUCCUAGCACUUUGGGAGGCCGAGGCGGGGGGAUCACUUGAGGUCAGGAGUUCGAGACCAGCCUGGCCAACAUGGUGAAACCCUGUCUCUACUAAAAAUACAAAAAUUAGCCAGGAGUGAUGGUGCACACCUGUAAUCCCAGCUACCCGGGAGGCUGAGGCAGGAGAAUCGCUGGAACCUGAGAGGCCGAGGCUGCAGUGAGCCGAGAUUGUGCCACUGCACUCUAGCCUGGGUUAACAGAGUGAGACUCUAUCACAAAAAAAAAAAAAAAAAAAGGAAAAAAAAGAGUAGGUUAGGCUUUGAGUACAUCAAGAGGCUGGGAAAUGGGUUUUGCUAGCUAAGAAAGUAACAAAGACAUUUUCUCUUUUCUGUGACUGUGGCUAAGACUAGUCCUGUCCUGUCUUUGCCAUAAACUAUGUGGGAAAUGGCUUUCCUUCACAAAAUGAGUCCCUAAAGAGAAGGGAGACUGAUGGCCAUCUCUCUCCAUGUGGCCUGAAGAGCCAGGAGGUAGGAAUAAGGGGAGUCAAGCAAGGCCUUAACCAGACUCUAAUACGCAAGCUGGCCCUGUUGCCUUGGGAAGAAUGUGGCUCCGGUGAGUAGCAGCAGGUAGAGGUGUAUAAUCUGGGAUAUGUGCAGCUCUGAUGCCUUCCGUUUUAGAAAGGACUCUGCUUUGCUCUGGCCUUUAAUUUAUGCCACAUAGGCACAGGGGCUACAUAACAUAGUGGUUUACAGCAAGGAUUUGGGAUCCAGACUGGCCAGAUUUGAACUCCAGCACUAUUCCUUGAUACCUCUGAAACUUGGGACAAGUAACUUAGUCACUAUGUAUGAAAAGAGAUAAUAAUACUAGUACCUUCCUCAUACUACAAGACUACAAGAUGUGGUCAAGACCAGAAAUAUAUAAGCACUGUAAAAACAAUGUAAAACCAAAUGAAAAUUCUUCAUUUGUAUCUUCCAAAAAUAAAAAAAUAGCUAUUUGGGAUUCUUGUCUACUUUGUCCCUGUAGUCCUAUAUAUUGUUUCUCUUAUGUCAGAUUUCUAACUAGUGGUUCUGUUUUGUUUUUUUACAAAAUUUUAAUAAGGUUUUUUUUUUUUUUUUGGCAGAGCUAGCUGAGGUUUUAUUUUGGACAAAAAAAAAAAAAGCCAGGUAUGGUGGCUCACGCCUGUAAUCCCAGCAUUUUGGGAGGCCGAGGCAGACCAAUCAUGAGGUCAGGAGUUCAAGACCAGCCUGGCCAAUAUGUUGAAACCCCAUCUCUACUAAAAAUACAAAAAUUAGCUGGGCGUGGUGGCGUGUGCCUGUACUCCUAGCUACUCGGGAGGCUGAGGCAGAAGAAUCACUUGAUCCCAGGAGGCAGAGGUUGCAGUGAGCCGAGGUCAUGCCACUGCACUCCAGCCUGGGCGACAGAGCGAGACUCCGUCUCAAAAAAAAAAAAAAAGCAAUUGAAUUGUUUUGUAGCUGGAGGCAUGGGGCAAAGGGGGUCCCCCGCGGUGGGCUGAGGGUUGGGGCUGAGCCUCGGGUGGGUUUCCUGUUGCCUGUGCUCCCCUGCACAGUGGCCUCCCUCCCGGGCUCUGGGGCAGCCGCAGGAGGGGCACGCUGGGAGGGGCUGCCGCAGCUGUUCACUUGCGCAGGACGUCAGAAGACUCGGACACCAGCUUCCCAUUGCGGGUCUGUAUCUUCUUCACAACCACGGCCCUGGUGGAGCUGCUGUGGCUGAAGGAGCUGGAGCCCACGCCAGAGCCAAAGCUGGAGCCCAGGCCGUAGCUGAGGCUGGGGCUUGUGAGGCCCCCAUAGGCCGAGCUCAGACCACCUGCAUAGCUGCUGGUGGUCUUCGUAUGGAUACUCAUGUUCUGCAUCCCAGACUCCAGCCGGCUGUCCUUGCCCUCCAGCAGCUUCCUGUAGGUGGCGAUCUCCAUAUCCAGGGCCAGCUUGAUGUUCAUCAGCUCCUGGUACUCAUGCAACUGCCAUGCCAUGUCUUGCUUGGCCCGCUGCAGGGCCGCCUCCAGCUCGGACAGCUUGGCGUUGGCAUCCUUAAUGGCCAGCUCCCCACGCUGCUCAGCAUCUGCGACGGCGGCCUCCAGGGAAGCCUUCUGGCCUUUGAGACCCUCAAUCUCAGCCUGGAGCCAGCUGAUGUUCCGGUUCAUCUCGGAGAUCUCAGUCGUUGUAUGCCGCAGGUCAUCGCUGUGUGGUUUUUUUUUUUUGUUUUUUUUUUUUUUUUUUUUUUGAGAUGGAGUCUCGCUCUGUUGCCCAGGCUGGAGUGCAAUGGUGCAAUUUCAGCUCACUGCAACCUCCACCUCCCAGGUUCAAGUGAUUCUCUGUCCUCAGCCUCCCAAGUAGCAGAGAUUACAGGCACCUGCCACCACACCCGGAUAUAUUAUUAUUAUUUUUGAGAUGGAGUCUUGCUCUGCUGCACAGGCUGGAGUGCAGUGGCAUAAUCUCAGCUCACUGCAACCUCCGCCUCCUAGGUUCAAGACAUUCUCCUGUCUCAGCCUCCUGAGUAGCUGGGAUUACAGGCACACGCCACCAUGCCCAGCUAAUUUUUAUAUUUUUAAUAGAGAUGGGGUUUUGCCAUGUUGGCCAGGCUGGUCUUGAACUCCUGACCUCAGGUGUUCUGCCUGCCUCGGCCUCCUGAAGUGCUGGGAUUACAGGCGUAAGCCACCGUGCCCAGCCUUUUUUUGUAUUUUUAGUAGAGAUGGGGUUUCACCAUGUUGGCCAGGCUGGUCUCGAACUCCUGACCUCAAGUGAUCUGCCUGCCCCAGCCUCCCAAAGUGCUGGGAUUACAGGCAUGAACCACCGCGCCCAGCUUGUUUUCCUUUUUGAAAAACACAGGCAAACAAUCUUCAUUUGGUAGGAUUAACCAUGCUGAAUUUACAAUAACACAUUUCUGGCCUUGUUUACAUCCUGUAGCUUAUUUGUAGAGCAUACUAACUAGCAUAUGUUGUGUGUUUACUUCAAGCUUAUAAUAUCAGCUGUGAAUUUUGUUCAGUUCAAUACUAUCAUAGUCUUUUGAAGAUAUAAAGAUAUAUUAUCUUAAACAUUAUAGGGUAUACAAGUGAAGCCAGAGUAAUUUGUUUCAGUCCAAAUUUCUUCAAUUUUUUUUUUUUUUUGAGAUGGAGUCUCACUGUAUGGCCCAGGCUAGUGUGUAGUGGCAUGAUCUCAGCUCACUGAAAUCUCCGCCUCCUGGUUCAAGCAAUUCUCAUGUGUCAACCUCCCAAGUAGCUGGAACUACAGGCACCCACCACCACACCUGGCUAAUUUUUUUUUUCCUUUUUUUUUUUUUCUUUUUUGAGACGGAGUCUCACACUGUCUCCCGGGCUAGAGUGCAAUGGCAUGAUCACAGCUCACUGCAAGCUCUGCCUCCAAGUUCACACCAUUCUCCUGCCUCAGCCUCUUGAGUAGCUGGGAUUAUAGGUGCACACCACCACACCCGACUAAUUUUUGUAUUUUUAGUAGAGAUGGGGUUUCACUAUGUUGGCCAGACUGGUCUCAGAUUCCUGCCCUCAUGAUCCGCCCACCUCGGCCUCCUAAAGUGUUGGGAUUACAGGUGUGAGCCACCGUGCCUAGCAUUUUUUGUAUUUCAGUAAAGACAGGGUUUUACCAUGCUGGCCUGGCUAGCCUCGAACUCCUGAGCUCAGGCAAUCCUCCCGCCUUGGCUUCUCAAAGUGCUGGGAUUAAUUUUUAUUAUUUUAAUUAUCUACAUGUUGUAGCUGUAUUCCUACUAUACUUUUUCCAGCAGAUUAUUUCUUGGUGAAAUGUCCCUUAAAUCAGAUAUGAACCAUGUGAAAAUAAUCAUUAUAAAUAUUCUAAUAUGCAGUUAUUUAUUUUUUAAAAAUAUGGGUACAUAGUAGGUGUACUGAUUUAGAUUUAAAGCAAUUUUAGUUCUGGAAAUAUGUUAUUCCUCUAUUCAUACUAUUUUAAAUUUGAACUUGUCUUAAGCAUUAACUGUUAUUAGGUACAAGACAAUUGCAAAAGCUGAAAAUACUAUUAUUAAAUAAUAAAGCAAUAAAAAUGUUUUUUGUUGGGGGGAGAGGAGAAGGAAAGUUCAAAUACACCUAGUCAGGGACCCAAGCAUCCUAAUAAAAAAUCAUUUAGCAUCGAGUCUCUCAGAGUGUGCUCACAUGUUCAGAACAUUCAAAACACUUGAUUCCAUGUAUCUGAGGGAGAGUUAUCACACAUUUUGUUCCUCCAAAUUGAAAUAAUAUUUUAUAUAUUUUUUGAGACAGAGUCUCACUCUGUUGCCCAGGCUGGAGUGGAGUGGCGCAAUCUUGGCUCACUGCAACCUCCAUCUCCCAGGUUCAAGCAAUUCUCCUGCCUCAGCCUUCUGAGUAGCUGGGACUACAGGUGCAUGCCGCUAUGCCUGGCUAAUUUUUAUAUUUUUAGUAGAGACAGGAUUUCACCAUAUUGGCCAGGCUGGUCUCGGACACCUGACCUCAAGUGAUCUACCCACCUCGGCCUCCCAAAGUGCUAGGAUUACAGGCGUCAGCCACUGUGCUGGCCUCAAAUGGAAACUUUGAGUUUUUUCUCUUUUUGGCUGACAAAUGACUUUGAUUUAUCAGUUUUGAAAUUACACAUUCCUUAAUCUAGAGCUAAUAAGUAACAAACUGACCCCAUGGUAUAACUUGAAAUUAGGACUGUAUCAUAAAACAGAUAUCAUAUUAUCAGUUAAUAUGAGUUAAGUUUCUAAAAUUUAGAAAACUGACUUUCUUUCAAUGAGUACUGCUAUUUACUGAAGGGUAAAAUAAGAGUUACAUGGUGUAGUUGAUGGAGUGUGUUAGCACACCUCCAGCAGGUGGGUGCCUACUACUGCACUGAAUCAGAGCCUCCAAUGCCCCUGGGUUUCCCAUUUGCCUCUCAUGAAGCGUUUUAGGUUGAUUAAUUCCAGGAUAGGCACUAAUAUCAUUGUUCCCAGUAAUCUAGCAACAUAAAGCCUUGUAAACCAAGACCUUAGACAUUUCCAUGAAGUCUUUUCAAGUGCUGCUUUCUACUCGCUGGCUGUCAUAGAUCAUUGCAGCUCUACAGGCAAUCUUUGGAAUAUAUUUCCAGCCAUUUUAGUCUCAGCUCUUUUUUUUUUUUUUUUUAAAGACUAGUGAAAUACAAUAGUCAGAUGAGGGGAAAGAGUAGAACAAGGAGGUUGAUCUGUAACUGACUGUGACCCAUCAACUGAGGUAACUCACUUCCUUCGGACCAGCCUCAGCUCUUUUUGUGAGUAAGGAAUAGAAAUCUACCCACAUUAGUUCAAAUAAAGGAGAUGGGGAUAUACAAUAAUUUUGGUAAUUAAAAUCAAAUACUGUCAGCCUUCAUGAGAAAUAAGCCUGUACACUGAAGUUGUCAGGGACCAAGAAAUCUGUAUUCUCCCUUUUUUUGUCUUUCUGGGGCCAACUGGUGUCUCCUUUUCCUUUCUCUUAGCACAUUUACUCCAUUUUCCUCUUUCAUUUAGUUGGCAGAUUGAGGCACUGUUUUUAAAAUGGCAAACAGACUGCAAGUCUUUGUGACCCUUUAGCAUAACUACCUUCAGGCUUUAGGUAUCUGUUUAAAAUCUUGAGAAAGAGGGACAGCGGGAGAAGGAGACUGGGAGAGUGGAGGAAGAUGGAGAGAAUAUGAUUUCAUGUGGGAAAGCCAGUAACGGACUUUGUUUUACUUCAAGUAUCUAUCUUUGAUUCAGUCAACCUUGGUUGUAGGGCUGUUAAAGAUCAAUCUUGUUCAUCAACAACAAAGAAAUGAAAGAUAAAAAACAAUCAUUAUAUUUUUACACUCCCUGAUAUUUUCUCUUAGAAGGUUAGCUGGAUUUUAUGAUAUUCAGUUGGCAAGAGCUUAAAAUAAACAAUUUGGCGGAGCAAUAUUGCAAUGUGGAUGGAGUUGAGAAAUAGACUAUCACUUUCUCAUACUAUGUGCCUGUUUCUAUGUGUAUCUUUUUCUUUAUUUUCACUAAUCAAAUAUAAGCACUGAAUUUCUAAUUAUAGUCCUAGAUCUGCUAGAGAGGCAUUUGAUAAACCAAAACUUUUGAAAAUAUUUAGAACUUUCAAAAGGAUCAAAACCUCAUUAGUGGUGAUGAGAGUGUUUUAAAGCUCAUAGGGGCUUUAUAGCUUCAUUUAGUUCAAUUCCAUAAUUUUACAGAUAAAUGAAGAACAGACAAGGGAAGUAAGUGAUGCAAGGCCACACAGCUCACUGGAGAUGGAGCUGGACUCCACUUUCUGUCAUUAUGUUUCUUAAUUCACUGUCAUUAUGCUUCUAAUUAAAAAAUACUACUUAGCAAACAAUUCACAUUAACAGAAGGGAUAAUUAAAAUCUAGUAAAGUUAUUAAAGGUUUUUCUCUCUUGAUAUGUGAUCAUUUUAACAAAUUAGUACUAGAUUGAGAUGUAACCUUGAGUGUGUUGCUUAUUCUCUAGGGAUCUCCAGUUCUUUUGAUUUACUAUAAUUCCCUUUACAAUAAUGAAGUUCCAUGCCUGAUUGGAUUAUCAGAAAGGAUUCUACCCCUCAGGCGUUUCAAUUAGUUCAUUGUUGCUGUGAUUAUAUUUUUCUCCUCUCUAUGUAUUAUUUAUGAAAUUUUAUUAUAAUAGAAUUUAAAAUAUUAGACCUCGAGGAAACCUUAGGAAUUACAUAGUCCAGAACUCCCUCAUUAACUUAUACCAUAUUUUAUUUUAUUCUUCUAAUUAUUGAUAAACUACGGAGGUGGCAAAAAGAAUCUGGGACGAUGAAUAUGAAGCACUUUCUGGAUGACUACUUUUGACCUCUGAAGAGAAAAUGAAACUCAAAUGAGGCCUCAUCUUUGUCAAUGAAGGCUUAUUUACUUACACCAUAAUUAUUUCUUGACUGUUUUUACAGAAUAGAUUUUUGUUUUAACUUGCAUUAACCGAAUCAUAAUAUUCACAGAUAUAAAAUAAGAAAGUGGCCAUGUUUAUGUUUUUAUUGCAUGAAAUAAAACCAAGUUCUAGGUCAUUCUCCUAUAUUGAUAAUUAGUAGAGCAUAAAAUAUACAUAGACAUUAAAUAUGUCAUUGAUGUUAAGGUUUUUCUACAAGAGACUUUCUCUUGUAGAAAAUCUCAUAAAAGAUCUUAAGUUUUAUGAUACAUUUUGAACAUUAUCUAUAAUAUAUUCAUUAAAUAUUUACAGUGCUCUCAUGAACAAAGCACCAUCUCAGAUAUAAGGAAUAGGUGUUCUGAAGUCCUCAAGCCUAAAGUUCUCUGUCAAACAUUUCGGUUUUGUUUAUGUUUUAGUGAUGACACACCUUUAAGAACUGGACAGAAACUAGGCUACUUUUACUUGCCAAGAACAUCACAUUCUAGCCAAUACAUUUUUUUACAUGAUAGUGUGAGCCAAGUCCCAGGUGUCAUUAAAGUAUCCCUUAAUGUGUGGAGCAAAGAUUGUUUCUAAAAAUUGUUCAAAGAGCCAAAUUCCUAAAUAGUAAAAGAUUUUAAAAGUAUAUAUAAAAGUAGAUAUCUAAAAUUUAAAAAAUUUCUUCUCAUUCCUUUAAAAACCUAUUUCUAUUUCUCAGGUAAGAACAGCGCAGCCUUCUUCCCAUUCCUGGCUCUCUAUCAAUUUCAGUAUUAGAUUCUGUGCUAUUUCCUGUACUGUGAGUUUGAAUUUCUAAGCAACAAAGAUGAACAAGGUAGGAACAGUGUGUCUUCCCAUUUUCAUCUAUAUGUAAAAGGUAGGAAGUGAGACCGCACGCAGUGGCUCAUGCCUGUAAUCCCAGCACUUUGGGAGGCCGAGGUAGGUGGAUCACCUGAGGUCAGGAGUUUGAGACCAGCCUGGCCAACAUGGCGAAACCGC